CACACCUGCCUUUGCAACCACUGUAGCUACUGUGGGAUAGAAGGAAUGGUCUGUAAUUCUUUCCUUUUAUUUUGAAUAAGCAGCAGGUUUGUGGAUGUGCCAAGAAAUUCACAGAGACUUUGACAUUCAUAGCAUAGGAUUGGUCAACCUGGUCUGACCUUGCUGGGGCACCUGUGUCUGAACACAAUAGGUACCCAUCCUUUGGGUUUGUGCAUGGUGCCUCCAAGACUUAAUGCCUCAGCUUCCAAAACAAAAACCUGAAUGUAAAUUACCAGGGUGGCAUGGAAGAUAAUAGUGGUGGUGAAGCCUGAUUUAGAAAAAUCAUUUAUUGUGCCGCUCUAUCGCUGUGAAAAAAUACGUAGUCUCUUGCAUUUGUUAAAAAACCAGCCGGCUUCUGCUUUCUGGUCUCAGAACACACUUUGCAUUUUUCUUUUUUUUCCUGGGACCGCCAAUUUAAUUCAGGAAUGAUCUAAUUAUGAGGAAGUGAAUCCAGUCCUCUGGUUGAUAAGUGUUGACUACCCUGGGAGAAGCCCUGGCAGAUGGUUAGUUCAGAGUGAAUUUACCUUGGGAUUGGGGCUUUAGACUGACAGCUUUUUUCACUCAAUUAAGUGCAACAACUGCCAAAAGGACAGCAUUGAACUCGAUGCAAAUCACGACUGUCACGGAGGUUGAUAAAGUUUAAGCCUGUGCCCUGAGUCAGCCCAACUUGUUAGGGUGUUUCCAGGCACCACAUUGUGAGGGGGGAACAAAGCCCAGUGAAGCACGGAGGGAUGUGAGGCCCCUCCUUGAAGAUGCAGGUAUUUGUUUCCUUUUCCAGGUCAAUGGCUGGAUUUAGGGCCUCUAUUUUGGUGUCCUGGCUGUCACUGAUUCGUUACGCAUCUCCUGCAGUUGGCUUUUACUCAGGCCCCGUGGAUCCUGCAGUGACUGUGUGUUCCCCAAAGUUAAUGUAUUACUGUUUUAUUUGGGAUACACAGUGACCCCACUCUCCAGGCCCUGCCUCAUCUGGCUGGCUCGCUGAACGCCUGAGAGGCCAUGUCCCCCAAGGAGAGAGAGACCCUCCCAGCGUGUGGGCGCUCCCGUAUGUCCAGGAGGCCUACCUAGCUUUCUAGGCCAUUCCUCAGAAAGCUUAGGCCAGCACCGUGCUGGGUGGCUCUCCUCCCUGCCUUCUGCCGAUAGCGCUGGGCAGCCACUAGCCCACACUGCCAUGGACAGCUCUGACUUCUGUCUCUUUCUGCUCCCCAAAGAGCCCCCUGAUUUCAUGCUGUAUGUCUGUGAGGUCCAAGGUCAGGAUCCAUGAAGAUAUUUUUGAACAGUGGAACGAGAAACCACUUCCUGCCAGCCACGGUCUUGGGGUGGGUCUUUCCAGGGUGCACCUGUGCCCAUUCCCACCCCUCAGUCUCAGGCCUUCCACACCCCCAUCCUUCAACCCCAGAGGCUCCCAGGUGCCCGGCAGCACCGCCCAGCUUGUUCUGUGUUGUUAUUUCUGUUUUACAAGCCUGGGGAAUCUGAGCCUGAAAUUCCUCAGUCAGGUAUAGGCCGUUGUCAGCCCCUUAUCAGUUUCCUGAUUUACUGUGUAAGCGGUUUUGAUUAUCCCUGUCAUAUGUGAUUACAUUCCCUCCCCCGCUUCCUAUAACAUCUUGGUGUAAUUGGUUUGAUAAACUCGACCUCAGCCCAGUAGUUUGGUUGGGAUAUACUUUCACCUUCUAUCUGUGUGACUAAGAUGGUUUGGAAUUGCUCUGCUCAGGGAAAAUCGGGCUUUGAGCGUCAGGCCCUUAGCCGUGGAAGCAAAUUGCCCAGGGUCGAUGCACAGGCCCCGGAGAGCUGGGGGCUUCUGUUAAGCUGCAGGCCUUGAAAUGGAAUUUCUCUAGCCUUCCCUGCUUGAGUCAGGAGUGGUGUGUGUUUCUCUGUGUUCUUCAGGAUCCAGAGAACAUUCGUGUUGCAUCUGUAUCUGGCCCUGCUGGACACCCUCUUUUCCAUACUUCAUCUUCACUAGAAGUUGAAUCUGUUUGUGUGUUCAUUUAUUGAAUACCUCCUUUGUUCCAGGAAGAAUCAGUGAGGAAAAGGAGCUUUAUUCUUUUUCUUUUUCUUUUCUUCCCUCAACGGUGCUACUCCCGAGGGCAAAGAAGGAAGAAUCAGCAUGCUUCGACACUGGGGCAUUUUUGGCCAAAUACGUGUUUUUGUUAAUUUGGGGUUAAACUGAAAGCCAAAAGCGACUUGGAGCUCUUUCUUACUACCUACACUUUAGCACCCAGCAGAGCUCUGGAGCUUCGUGGAGAAGGCAGAUACAGAAUUGAGAUUGGAGGAAUAAAUAAGAUUUAAAGAAGGUGAGCUGGUUGGGCAGGUGAGAGAAGGGGGUUUCUGCUGCUAGGGGGCUACAGCGUAGGCAGAGGCAGGAGAGCUGGAAAGCUGAGAUGGGCAAACGGACAGGCCUCCUGGCACGAGGCCGGACGAAAGGGGAAUAAAGGCAAAUCCUGUAGAAUUCGUGCAGAGAGUAAGGCUCUUGAUUACUUUGGGCUUUGGAAUUUGAAUUUAAGUCUGUAGGCAGUUGGGAGCCAGUGAGAGGUGGUGUUGUCAGAAUUAGGUUUCCAAAAAGUAAACCUUCAGCUACAUAUAGAACCGUCCUUUCUUUUUAAAGGAAAAUAUAAUGCAGGCCAAAGCUUUAUCAAGGCUAGAAUAGCAAUUUUUUUAAAGAAUUGUCAUUGUAGAAUAAAUCUUGUUUGGAAAAUAUUUCCUUCCAGGACACAGACUUUGCUGGGAGUCAUCCUUGAGAAUUUCUGCACAGUCUGGCCUCAGCAGAUAGAUGCCCAGUCCCCUUUUACUGACAUAUCCCACUAGCACGAUUCUGCAAAACAGUGCUCAUUCCCGAAUAUCCAUGAUCAGAAUGUUUAGCAAAUGCAGAUGUGGAUGUGACAGAGAUGAAAACAUGGAUCAGUCAUCAGCGGUAAUUUCCCCUGGUUAUUUUCCUAGAUCUAAAUUUAAAGUGGGAUCAGAAGAUGUUGUAGUAGUUUAUUUCACACGAACUAGACCUUCUCUUGUAGAAGAAUCUGGCUGGCUGGUCAUUACCAUUCUGCUCCUCACUCUAUUUAAGAUUCUGAUAUUUUUCUCAUGAUAUUUUUUUCCCGAACAACUUCAAUAAAGUAUUGUAUUAAAAUAUUGUUAGUAUUUUUUAUUUUUUAUGUUUUGGGGAACCGCACCUGCAGCAGAGGGAAGUUUCCAGGCUAGUGAUCAAAUCAGAGCUGCAGCUGCAGGCCUACACCACAGCCAUAGCAACACCAGAUUGGAGCCACAUUUGUCCCCUAUGCCACAGCUUGCGACAGUACCAGAUCCUUAACCGAAUGAGCGAGGCCAGGGAUUGAACUCGCAUCCUCGUGGAACCUAGUCGGAUUCUUAACCUGCCGAGCCACAACAGGAACUCCGAAGUAUUAUUCUUAUUUUUUAACUUAUUUGAUUGAAGUAGACUUGAUUUACAGGGUUGGGUUAAUUUCUGCUGCAUAGCAAAGCAAUUUAGUUAUACAUAUAUACACAUUCUUUUUCAUAUUCUUUUCCAUUAUGGUUUGUCACAGGUUAGUGAAUGUGCUUCCCCAUGCUAUGCAGUAGGACCCUGCCAUUCAUCCUCUCUCUGUGUAGUAGUUUGCAUCUACUAAUUCCAAGUUCCCGAUUUGUCCUUCCCCCACCCCUGUAUUAAAAUAUUACUUAUCUUGAUCACUAGGUUUUUUGGCCUCCUUGACAUUUUUGUGCCUGAGGUGAGGAGCUCGCUGGCUUGCUUAGUCUCGCCCCGUUGAGUUUAUAAAACAGGAUGGAAAAUCUCCAUGCAGGGAGUUUUUUCAGCAUCUCUUCCAGCCUACUCUGUCCGUGUAGAAUGUGUCCCUUACACCCCACAAAACAGACAACAGACAAACCGGCACAGCUCUCAAGCCUCACUUGUGCUCCCUAUGGGGUAGUGGGGUCUCUCCUGGCCAUACCCCUCACCAUCAGGUCAUGGGAAACGCACAGGGAGACCAUCUUAUUGGGGGAGCCUCUUCACCAAGGCUCUUUGGAUGGGCUCCAGGGCAGACCCACUUCAUAAUGAGUUCUGCUGGGGAGUGACAAUGGGAAACAUGGUCCGUGCAUUUAUCUUUCUUGACAUCUUGACAGUUCCCAGUGACGUUCUUCUCUUGGCCUCACCUGACAUAGCCCAGUUUAGAAUGAGAGUCCCCCUGCAGAGUGAUUCCUUAUCUGUAAUGAAUAAAGACCUGCCCAUAAAGCUGGGGUGGGGGUGGGGGUAGGGGCAGACGAUAGAUUUGGAAGGACCCCCUGGAGAGUUAAUGCUGAUCCUUAGUUGGCAGCUGGCGAAGCUGAGGCACAAGGCAGUGACCUCCGAGUGGGGGUCCUUCUGAACCACACGGCUGGAAGUGCCCGGCCAGGCCUGGAAUGCAGGCCACAGCUCUGCCCUUGGCAGCCUCGGCCAGGCCAUGGCCUCAGUGGAGCGCUUGCCUGGGGAUGUGGAUCCACUGUGUUGCUGCUGCAAAGCAACCUGUUAUUUAAAGCCUCCCCCUGAUUCUGGGUUUCAGUGCCUUUCCUUCCAAACUACAGUAGGCCCCCUAAGUGCCUUUAUUGCCAUGGAGGGAGAGAGAAAAUGCAGGCAGCUUGGUAAUUGAACAACCAUGCUCUUGUCAGCCCUCAUUGUUUUCAAAGCAGCUAUUGUGGGGGGCUAGCGCCCUGGCAUGGCACAGGCAGGCCGCGCUGGCCUUCUCCAGCAGCGCCCGGGCCAGCUUGCCCCCCGUGGUCCACGGGGCAGUGUGUCUUUAAAUGUUCCUUGUUUCCUAAGUUCUGCUCUGGCAAGCCAGCUCUGCCUUAAACCUGCAGAGUUAAAUUUACCCAGACUGACAACUGUAUAUGCAGGGUUUAGUUACAUAACAGCAGUUGCUGCCUUUCACAUCACGCUAAUCCAAACACGGGGCUCCAAGAGACCAUGAAAAAGCAGCCUUCCGUUUGGUGCGCUCCAUGGGUGACUGGAUUAUAUGUCUUUAAAUUUUUUUUUUAAAGCACUGUAACAAUUAUCCCAUUAUUCCUGACUUUGGUGCCAUUAGGUGACUUUUAAAAUAUCUUAAUUAUUAGGUUAGCAGAUGCUGUGUGCACAUGUGCAAUUUGUUAAUUUAUGCUGUUUGAAAUGAAAUCCAGUUGUUUGCAGCGUCUUUCAUAAUAUUAUGGCUAACUGAAUCGGAGAAUCGGCGUGCUGCUGGAACUGUAAAGCUCCUCGCGGGGAAAAUGUGCUUGCGAGCCUCCAUGGACUCUUUGACAGUUGCCUUGUCACUUCUCUGUGGCUCUCACCUCCCCGGUUUUCAUCUGAGAAGAUCAUUAGAUCCCUUGCAGCCUGUAGACAGGGGUGGGCUAGGCAGAGUGUCUGCAGAGCUGCUCCAGCCAGAGAAAGAGGCUUUUCCAUCUUUAAGUAGCCUUGGCUUGUUUGGGGGCUGCUAAGCUGCCUGAGUUGUCACGUGAAGACUCAAGGGGUCUGUGGACUGGGGACACGUGGUAUUGGUCGGUUGGUGGUCUAAUCUUGCCAGAUACUCAGCACAAGCUGCACCUUUACUAUUCAAGCAAGUCCUAAAUAUUUAUUAAAGAGGUAUUAUGUGUGAUGCUAAAUAGAUGUGAUUCAUUGGGGCAAAAAUACAUGGCUUUUGGGGUCACACCUGGCUUUGAAUUCUGGCUUUUGCUUUACUUACAGUGUGACCUUGGAUAAAUAAUUUUAUGUCCUCAAGGCUCAAUUUCUGCAAAGGCAGUGGAGUUGUUCAUCUAAUAGGCAGAUCGGUCAAGAUUAUAAAAUGGCCAGCAGUGUGCUGGGUACAUAUGAGAUUCUCAAUAAAUGGUCAGACCUUCCUUUUAUUGCUCUUGGGCACUCAUGUGGGAUAGAAAGACCUCUGUGGAUUCAGGAGAUCACCGUCCCAUUGGAGAGGCAAAGCGUCUGUGCUAAAUCAAGGUACAAGUAAUCGUUUGAGAUCUGUCACAUGUAGUAUAGCACUCAUUAGGGAUUGGUACAGAUCUAAAGUUCAUUGAGUUCAAAGGAGAGGCUAGAUCCCUGGUAAGUUGAGGUACACGGACAGCCUGAUCCGUCUCUGAAGGAUGAAGAGAAUUUAAAUAGAUGGAAAGACCACUGGGGAUUGUGUGUGUGUGUAUGUUUAUGUGUAGGGGAUGUCAGUUUAUUAGUAGAGGCAGAUAGUGUGUGUUAAUGCACAGAGAUGGAGAGGCCCAAGGCCCAAUUUGGGAAACAGUAGAAUAUGCUUUGUCUGGGAGUGAUGGUUUGUAUGUGGUAAAUAGUGGACCAGGAGGUUAGAAAUGUGGAUCUGAACUGCACUGUGGACAGCUCUGAAUACCAAGUUAGGGAAAUCAUUGCAUUAUCUUAUGUAUUUGGUUUGUUUUAAGCAUGGAACUCAGGACAGACCAGCAGUGAACCCAUGAAUGGGGGGUAGACCUCUAGUGGCCGAGAGAGUUACUGCAAAGCCUCAUGAUAUGAAUCUUGUUUAAUGCAUAAUUUUCACAAGCUUGGCUUAUGUUGGAAAUUGGAAGCAGAAUGUAAAAAACGUCCAGGCUGACAGAA
rnacentral:lncRNA from 1 species